GAAUCAAUAUGCUGUUGUGGAGGUGGAGGGAUGAUUAACAAAACAAAAUCAGUCCUCCUGGCAAACUGGGAAAAUCUCCUCACUCAUGCAGUUUAGGAUAUUCCACACUUUUUCUUAGCAAUUUCUUUCUAGGCUCGCCUAAAUAUAAACUAAGCUUUAAUAAAGAAAGCUUAAAAAGUAACAAUGAGAAAAACUAAACGUUUUAAAUACCUUGAUGUUACAGAUAUCGCAAAAGCUUUGAUGUGUGAUAGCCAAUCAGGGGGUUAGCUGCCCCGCCUAAAUCUGUUUCCCCUAACAAGCCUGCCUGCCCCCUGGGCAAAAAUCCUGGUUACGCCUGUGGAAACUUCUCGAUAACUUCAUACGUGGUUGGGUGGGGAAUGACCCACAUAGGCACAAAGAAUAUAAGGAAUUUGGUGUCUGGCAAUGCCAAAUCUGCAGAUAAAUCAGUGCCUCCUGUUUUAGGUUCUUUACCAUUGUUCCAAAGGUGGUGUGGUCAGUCUGGAUCAGUAUGGAAAAUCAAGAUAGUCUGUUAAGUGCUUGUGUGACCUAUAUUUGGUUCAGCUCUCUGAACAACUAGAUUCAAUUGCAACCCCUUUGUAAAAUGUGACUUGACUUUUUAAUUUUUAUUAUUUUCAACUAAUUCACAUUACAUGUUAAUUGCCAUUCACCUUCAUUAUUGUACAUAACACGAAUAUAUUCUGCAAAUUCCCUACAUCGAACCCUGCAACCAACCUCCCCUUAUACCCAAAUGCCCGUGUGACUUCCUUCACCCACAUGCGUGAACCCAACUUAAUAAAAACCCUCUAACAUGGUGUUCAUUUUUAAUCCUUACGAUAGUCCUUCAUCUAUUAAAAUCAGGGGGGGGGGGAGAGAGGAAAACAACUUCUUAACUUAAUGAGUUCAGUCUAUACUUACCCAGAGAUUUCUAAUAGAAUGAUUUUGUACAAUAUAUUUUCCGACACGAUUUCCAUUCUUUAAUUUUUAUUUUAAUUGCAAUCUGAUUGAUGCAAUUUUGAUUGCAAUCUGAUUGAUUGCAUCUUGGCUAGUUCAAUAUAUUCGGGAAGAAAUGAGGAAGUAGACAGAUUUAGAAUCUGUUUGGGUAAUGUCUGCAGGAGGGGAAACUGUUCUUUUUGUAUUCUGCUAACUUGCAAAAUGAUGUAAUCUCGCUCUGCACAUGCUCUUGUACCCGUGUCUGGAAGUUGUUUGUGACACACUUAUAAAAGUGAGCCCCAAAUAGCAAUUGCCAUCAGGAAACUGACAUCCUGGCCAGUCUGCCACUACUGGAUCAGAUGCCCUGCUUGCCUGUUGGGAGAUCAGCAUGUUUUGCAGCUUUAGGGCUUCUGUAUGGAUCAGGUCCUUUUCCACCAACAGUUAGCUCUCUUUGCUACUGUUUUGAGUGAGGUGUUUGAGCUCCAAGUGGAUGCAGGCUUUUCACUGUAGACUGGGUGGGGUGGCAUCUGCAACACUUCAGCCCUGGUAGUCAUUAUUGGAAAUUGAGGAGGAAAAUUGGCAAGAGGGCCUUGGAUAUCUGCAAUGAUCUUCUGCAAGGGCAGUCUCUUAUGUGCAGUGUCACCAUCCUGGUCUGCUGAAGAAACAGCUUUCACCUCUGUCCCUAGCCUGCAGGAGAUAAUCAGUGCAGCAAGUCACUUCAGCAAGGUUGGGGGGGUGUCAUUGUGUCUGAUGAUAACCACAGCAAAGAGGGAGAGAAAAGGGAUGCAAGACAUUUUGUCUUCUGGAUGGAUUUCUGGCUGGAGAAGUUGAACACCGUGUCCAGGGAUGCCCAGGAGCAAGGCAAGGAUUUGAGGCUUGUGCUCCUGGCUUCAAAUUCCGGGGUGGAGGUCCGCUGGUUGUGCAUUCUUCACGAGCUUCCCAGAUGGGGCUCAGGGAUCUCUUGUCUGGGAGAGGUCUGGAGGUGAUGGGUGAGGGGAUCCAUGGAGAACGUAAGGCGUUAAGUCCAGGGUGGCCAUUUUGCCUGUUGGGAGAUCAGCGUGUUCUGCAGAAGGGAUUGGCAGACCAUUAAAUGCAUGGCUCUUUUCGGAUAAGCAGCAGGAACUACACAGGGAAAAACUUGGAUGCCGUUUAACCAAUUUUCAAGUUUUCUCAACCCUGGGGGACUUAAACUUGUGUUUACCAAAACCAUGCUUCCUUUCGGGUUUUUCAUGGGACUCAUCUAGCAGGAACAGCUUGAAAUUUUUGAAGACAAGUGGUUACCCAGGAUAAUGUCCUUGGGUCUAUUAGUAGAGAUUUUAACAUCCUCCACCAGGGCCCCAUCUUUACACUCCUAGGUCCCCCACAACCUCUGCCUAUGGGAAUUGGCCCUCCUAUUCCAAGUCCAUAAAGGAAGACCAGGAACCCCUUCCCCCUGGCCCCAGUAACAAUCCAUAGACUCAUCACUAUCAGAAUCAGAUCUGAAUCUGAAUUCCUGAACUUUUUGCUCUUGCUGGAAUCUUUCUUAUGAUGGCGCUUCCUGAGUGCUAUUGCAGCCCCUGGAAAUGGAAGCAAUGCCGCCAGAUGCCGCCCAGCAGUAGCAUUGAUAGGAGGGGGAGAAACUGGCCUUUCUGCGCCUCUAGUAAUCCUUCGGCUCGUGCGCCGAGCCUGCGUCACCCCAACUUGUGGUGGAUUCUCAUUACUACCCCUGUGGCGCAAGCGCGAUGUCACAGUGAGCUUUGUAUUGUGGGGCCGGGAUGCAGGGUUGGAUAGGUGUGAGUCGCUGAAUAGGGCCUGAGAGGUAGAAGGCAUCUCAUCCCUGUCAUAACUGGCCAAAGACAUACUAGAACAACUGGCUCCAGUGUCGGGAAUACAGUCGGGGGUAGAUUGAGGGUCAGAGACUUGCAAGGCCUUCAUCCCUUGGCCUAAACCAUUGCAUCAUUGUAUCAAAUUCAUUUAAAAAACUUGGUAAUGCGUGUGGAUUCCUGGCCAUACCCGCCAAAGUUGUACCUAACUGCCCCACUGCCUGCCCCACCAGUGAAGCACCCUUGUCUGCCUGUGCCAAUUGGGAUCAGGUAAUGGGAGCGCAACGAGAAAACAGCUUGGAAAAGUUUUGCCGCAAAUGCUGGGCAAAAUAUUCUGUAUCAGCUGUCAUAUUUCUAGUCGGAUUUGGGGGUAUGCGCAACGCCAGCCAGCAAAUAGCUUCCUAACGUGGAAAGUGUCACAGGAGUCUGGCUGCUACAAACAAUUACUGAAAUAAGAGUGCAGACUUAUGAAGGCUCAUGAUCUUAAGGGCCAGGCCUUUUUGUUUCAGAUAAACCAAAUACUGUUUUUCAAGACAUUAAAUUCCUUAGCAUAAUGCCCAUAGUUGGAGCAAAACCUGGCUCUGACCCUUUUGAAAUAAGACUAUGCUUUUGUGUAAGCCCUCAGUCUGGAGGGUGCAAGGGCUCUCAAUACUCCCUGCAUCACUUGGCUUGUGCAAUCUUUCUUUUAAAAAUGAUAACUGUCAGUAUCAAGUGCACUCUCAUCAUUUACUGGAAUAAUCAAAACAUGUUGCUUUAGCACUCCAAAUCUCAAACAGUACUUCAAGGUUUGCACUGACAAUCUUCGACACAUCAUGGUCUGUAUGAAGUGGCAACUAAGUGGGAAAAUUGUUCCAUUGUGACCUAACUCUCUGGCCAUGAUCACCCUGGAGGCAAGAAAUGCAUCUAUUGUGUGGUCAUUUAUCCAGUUUCAUCCUCUCAGUGUGUCUGUGUCAUAAUCAUACACAGAAAUGGUUGUAGACAUGAGUGUGGUGAAGGUACAGUUGUGCCAUGGGGGAACUGAUGUACAAAUCAGUGAUUUGCCCAAACGCUUCUCACUUUGUGUUAAGAAUAUGGGGCUACUAUAUGUCAUAUUUUCUUUUAUUGCUUCGCAUGCUGUGAAUUUCCAAUUUUCCCUCCAAAGCUUCUCCCACUGUGUUACUUAAAUGUUAUUUACCCAGAUCCAUAGCCCAUUUAAUCAUCCUUGAUUUGUUCAUCCUUAAUUUCCCAUUCUAAUAAUAAUCCAUACAUUUUGGAAAUUACCUUAACAUUACUUGUUAUUUUUAUCUAAUAGUGAGAGUUCUGUCGCAAAUCCUUUGUUUUUCUUGUCUUCGUUAAAUUUACCAUAUAACUAGUGGUAUUGAAUCCACCCUGCCAGGUGAUCCUUUAUUUCUUUGUAAUCCUUUAAUUUUAAUUUAUUAACCCUUUCCUCUAGCAAACUGUAUGUAGCCCAGUUUGUUUGCAUAUUUUUCUUUUUAAUCGUUAUGCUUCAAUGGGAGACAGCCACCAAGGUACUUUGAGUUCUAAAAGUUCUUUAUAUUUCCCCCAUAGUUUAUAUAAUGAUUUUCUUAUAAUAUGGUUAAGAAAACCCCUGUUUACCUUCACUUUUUCAUACCCUAGGUGUGUGUGCCAGCCAAAACGAUUAUUGAACCCGACUAGGUCCAAUAAAUCUCCAUUGUUUAGUGUUAGCCAUUCUCUCAACCACAUGAAACAAGCUUCAUCAAAAUAUAAAUUUAAAUCCGGUAACGACAAUCGGCCUACUUUUACUGUCUCUUAAUACUUUAUCUUUAAUUCAUGGUGUUUUGUAUUGCCAAAUAAAUUUUGUUAAAUCUUUUUUCCAUUGCUUAAAACAUAGCUUUCAUCUUUCUUAGGCUGCAGAAGUUCUCCCCUUUGUACAAGAUCCAUGAUUUGUGAUGGAUCACAAGCUAUAUGAGGAAAGACUAUGUUCUGGUGAUCUUGAGUGCCGGAUAAACUAAGGCUGCAAAUGAAGGUUUCCUGUGUUACAUAGUCCACGAAAAGUUUCUCCAGUAAAGUUUUUGCAUUGCAUAUAUGGAUAACACCAUUGCUUCAAUCAUCAUUUCUUUCCAUUGUGAAAGUUUUUUUAGAGCUACAUGAAAACUCAAUACACUUUUUUCAUUACAGUAUAUAUGUUCAGUCUCUUUGAAAUCCAGGCCCCAGCAUGAGUUGCUAUUGCUUGGUGCAGGUCUUCAUUAAAGUAGUCCAAGAACACUUUGCUCCACCUUCUACUGAGUUUAUUUAAUUUGAAUGUGUAGUCUAUGCUCAGAAUUUGACCUCAGAAGAUAAAAGUCAGCAAGGUAUACCUUGGUCUCUUCUGAACUGGCCCCAUGUUUUUUCAACCAAAACACGAUCUCUGCGGAUGUGAUUCCAGCAUUACCAUUCUGUGGGUCGAGCAAAAACAUUAUCCAAAGCCUUUUCAAUUCCUUUUUCUCUGUCAGACACUGAGACAACUUUAUCUGAAUUGAGCAAAGGACACUGCUUUGAAAGGGUUUCCAAAAAUAUCCUGUGAUUGUUCUCUCGCCUGCUGUCAUGUAUCAUGAACAUUACAGGAACCAGUGGUGAUUCAGUGAAAAGCACAUUUUGAAAUAACAAAAUAGAUAGGUAGUAGUCUCCCAACUUGUGUUGUAGCAAUUGGUUAGGCCAGUCAAACGACCACGCAGCAAUCAGAGAAAUAAAGCAAAAAUUUUUUAAUUGUUUGCCGGCAGCAAGCAAUGGCACGGAGGAAUAAGUUUCAAAGUCCAGCCCUUCCCAACAGGGAAGGCUUCCCUUUACACAUUCUUUAAUGAGGUUUUUAUCCAAUCAAAAGUUACAGCAUUGCACAUACUCGGAUACAAUAGAUUCUGCCUUCCAUGUCCCUAUUUGUUAAUCCUUAUCAGCCUAUCUGUGUGUCUCUGGGUAGUGGGUGUCUGAGUGUAUGUACUGGAUAUGGGGGCCUGGCGGAGAUCAACAAAAUGGCUUCCUUGCUUAACAUUUUUAACUGUCAAAAUGGCUUCCCUGAGCACAUAGCCACAGUGUCUCAUGAAAAAAGCAUAGGUAUAUCUGUCUUCAGUGAUACUACUUUCCCAAUUUCAGAUGAAAUAACCUGUAGGCCCAUAACAACAAUCACUGUAGGACACAGAUAUGGAUGAAGCCUUCAAGGAGUUCUGUAAAUUCCAAUAUACUGUACUGUCUUUAUAUAUUUCUUAUAAUUGUUGAUAGUGCAACCAAUUCUGAUAGUGAUCUUUUAUCUCGUCAUAGUCUCUUAAUUUCCAUUUUGCACCGUGAUCCUUUAACAGAUCAGUAUAUGCAAGCCAUUUUCCUUUCUUUCCAAGUGGUUUGAGCAGUAACGCUUCACGUGGUGAGAGCCACCAAGGAGUUUGUUGUUCUAACAAGUCUUUGUAUCUCUCCCAUACUCUCAUUAAUGACUUCCUAAUUAUAUGGUUGUAGAAACUUCUAUGAACCUUCCCUUUCCCAUACCAUAAAUAUGCACGCCAGCCGAAUCUGUUAACAUACCUUUCUAAUUCUAAUGCUGCUUGUUUUUCCAACCUCAUCCAGUCCCUGAUCCAUAUCAGGCAAGCAGAUUCAUAAUACAAUUUAAGGUCUGGGAGGGCAAACCUGCCUCUAUCUUUUACAUCUAUAAGUAUUUACAUCCAUAAGUAUUUAAUAUUUUAUCCUUGGCCUUUUGCCCCCCCCCCCCCCGAUAAAUUUUGAAAUCUCUUUCUGCCAUUUUUUAAAAACAUUCAUCUUUCAGGAAGACUGGGAUUGAUUGCAAAAGGAAUAACAUUUUUGGUAACACAUUCAUUUUAAUCGCCACUAUUUUUCCUAACAAUGAGAGUUUCAUUCUACUCCAUAUUUCUAAGUAUUUUUUUACCUCAAGCCAGAUUUUUUCAUAAUUACUUUUAUAUAAAUUUUUAUUUCUUGAUGUCAACCAUAUCCCUAAAUACUUAACAACGUUUUUAUGGACUUCAAUCUCAAUGUUUUGUUCUAACUCCUUUUUUUCUUCAAGUUUUUAAGUAAUAAUUUUUGUUCCUAUUUAAUUUUAAAUCCUGCCACUUCCCCAAAUUUCUGAAUCUUUUCUAUUAUUUUAGGAAGUGAAGGUUUUGGCUCUAACACUGUUAUCACUAAGUCAUCUGCAUAUGCUUUUAAUUUAAACUCACUUUCCCCAGUUUUAACACCUUUGAUCUCUUUAUCCGCUCUUCUGGCAAGUACGUUUCUGGCAAGUACUUCCAGUACCAGUAUUUCCAGUACCAUCUAGUACCAGGAUGAACAAUAAUGGUGAUAGUGGACAUCCUUGUCUAGUUCCUCUUUGAAUCUUACAAUCGCCCGUUAUCACCUGAUUUAUAAUUAAUUUUGCUUUUGUUCUGAAUAGAUUGCUGCUAUUCCUUUUAAAAAUUUAGAACCACAUUUAAUUUGUUCUAAUAACUUUGUCAUGAAUUUCCAAGACACGUUGUCAAAGGCUUUUUCAGCAUCUAUAAACAUCAUUGGCGCUUUCUUUUCGUUUUUGGACUCUAGGUUUUCUAUUUAGAAUAUUCCUUAUAUUCUCCUUUAUUUGUCUACCUGGUAGGAACCCUGCCUGAUCUUGAUGUACAUACUCGUUGAGUAUAUUUUUAAAUCUGUUAUCUAAUAAUGUUUGCAAACAAUUUGUAAUCAUUUAACAAAGAAAUAGGCCGCUCCCGCUUUCCUAGUUGUUGCUCCCUCCUUGCCUGACAUCUCUUACCAGUUGGUUCCCAGUGUUGUAUGAGUUGUUCAAGGUCACACCUGCAGGUUCUGAGUCUGUUCAACUCUUCCCCCUCCCAGAUUUUUUUUCUAGUUCCCCUUUCUCUUUUUUCUGCCUUCUCCCUCCCCACCACAAUACAUCAUACAAUUAUAUAGCAAAAGAAGAAAAAAGGCAGAAAAAACCAAUAAAUCAAAGUAUGAAAUGUGCAAUUUAAAGAAUGAAAAAUAAAAAAGGAAAGUAAUGAAGUAAUUUAAAAAUCCAAAAAGCAGAGGGAAGAGAAAAGAUAAAAAUGUUAGGCCAAGUCAUUUUCAAGUUCAUGUCUUUAAAGGAAGAAAAAUGAAAUUGUUCAUUGAAUUGUACUUGUCUCCUUAUAAAUGUCUCAAACAGUGGUGACUUGCAGUAGUUCCAAAAGUUAUAUUUCCAUUUUAUUAUUUGUAAUCCCAUGGCAUUUAUGUUGUAGUUCAGUUCACAGAAGUGUUUGGGUUUCAGUUAGCAAAUCUUUCUUGGUGAGCUCUUUCAGUCUUUGGGGUAUCAAAGAUGCUUUAGAAACUGUUCCAGGCUCUUUCCACUUUCUGGGGUUACCCCCCCAGAAGAGUCCCCUGGCAAGCUUCCUUCCUUUCCCCUUUUACUCUUCAGCUCCACCAAUUUUAAAAGACUGUUCAGAUUCCUCCAGCUGUCAGUAGCUUUUUAACUUUGUAUUCCAGUAGGUAACUGAAUACAGUUAAUGUAUAAAUCCGUUAGAAUGCAACCAUCCACCAAGUCACGAGUUAAACGUUGCAACUCUCCUUUGCUGUAAGCAAUGUCUGAGUCCCAUUCACAAAAAAAGUUCCCUUUGCAGAGCUCGUCCACAGAAAUCGGAAGCUGACUUCCUGUUUUGCUUCCGUUUUGCCAAAUUAAAUUUUUAGACUCUUAAUUCAAAGUUCAAAAUGUUCUAUUUGACUUUUACCUCUAAUUGGAAGAUCUACUGCUUCUGGUGACGGAUCGUUGCUUCGGCAGGAGGCUGCGUUGGUGCCGAGAGCGAACUUGAGCCUCUUCCCCUUCCCUCCUGUGCGCACAGCAGCAGCCGGGAGACGUUUGCAGGGGUGUGUGUGUGAGAUUUUCCGCUCCGCUGGAGCCCUCGGGUCCCCACUCUCCUGGGGGGGGGGUUAGGGGGUGCGCUGAUCUCUAGCGCUGCCAUCCAAUCCUCUCUGCCGACUCUGUGUCACGGACGACACUUAGCACACCGCCAUUGUCCUCCUUAGCCUUGACCAGUAGCAGGAAGGCAUCUCGGCACAUCCCACGUCUUCCAUGACCCUCAAAAUGGCCCAGUGAACGAUGCUGUGGCCAAUGAUCCAAAUGUUUAAACCCAGGAACCUAAGAUGAACAGCAAAAAUCAGGCACAGGAAAACUUAACCACGCAGUCUGAUGCAUCCUUUAUAAGCCUCUGAUGUCCAGCGUUCCAUUUUUAAAAAAAAUAUUAUUCUGUCCAAAGAUUUUUGAAGGCUUAGCACUUGUAUCUGAAAUCUUUCCUAUCAAAUUUCUCUUUCUGUUACCAUGAGGAACUGCAUGGAAUUCCUUCUCAUUUCCAAUAUAGUGUAACAACCAUUUCACAAGAAGGUUGUAGCAGUGUAAUAACUGUGCCUUCUGAAGUUGCCUGUACUUGAACCAGUUUUGAUUUUAUGGUAACAUUUUCUCAACUCUGGGUCCUUUCUUUGCCUUAGUUGGGCACCACAGUUGAUCCAAGAUUAUUGAUCACAGUGCCAAUUGGGUUUUUUUCCCCUGAGGAGAACCUUUGAAUGGAUACAGGAAGACAUCACCACCAAGAGGCUUGCAUGGCGGAUCAUUUACAAUCUUCUGAUAAUCAGGAUGAGUUAGAAUAUGAAGGGCUUUUUCUGUUGGAAUGUUCAGGGGGGCAGGAGAGGAUAUAUUUUUUAAUUAUAUCCUUCCCAACUUGUGUUAACAAGUUCUAUAAUUUAGCAGAGUAGCAUUCCCCUUUUAAAUUUGCACAGCAGAUAAUGUCCAUGCCAGGCUUGCAUAAGCUUCUAAAAUAAGUUUCCUGGUAAUUACCUUUUAUUCCCUCUUAAAAGAAUAGACACGACAGUCUUGUAUAAAAGUAUAUAAAAUAGUUUACUCAAAUUCUGUUCUCAGAAGGAUCCCAGAAGGCAGACUUAAGUUGCUAUAUAUAUACACCUGGAAUCUAUCCCAUAAGGAGAUAGUUCCUUUGUCCUCUCGAAGCCAAGAGAGCAUCUCAGGCUAAGGAGAUGACGCCUAGUGUCCUUUACUGGGGAUAGCCCCCUGUUUAUUAUGCAUUGCCUGAAGCCGGGUAAGGGCCCCCUUCCCCUGUUGAUCGGUUUUGAGUGACGGACAUGCAGAACUAAAUCGAGCAGGAUAAGGUCAGGAUUCCCAGGCCGCAGAAUCCGGCUGGCCCUCGCAAACCACCUCACCAAUGCGCAAAGCGCCAAAGGCAAUGGAGUAAGCGGCAGAAAAUAAUUGUGCCUCAGAUUUGUGUGUGUCUGUGUCAUGCUUGUGCUACAUUCAUUGUGAGUGUCAACUCAUGGUGUGGGGGUGCUCCAGACCCCUCCCCACCAUGUUCGAUGUCAGAAUUACUGUAACCUUUAGCGGCUUCUUAGCAUUUUCUUAAAGCUACAGGUUUCUUAAAGUUACAGGCUUCUAUAAGUUCCUUUUCCCAGUCAUGUGAUGGCACAACGGCACUUUCUCACCCUAGCGCCAUUGAGCCAGCCCUCAAUUAAAUUUAGUGCAACCACCUCACGGUACACCAGUUAGACGAAUUUCUACAUUUUACCCCAAAUUGUGGGAGACUUCUGUGAGGGAAAACUUAAUGAUUUAGAGUGUCAGGCAGGAGUUGACCAAACAAACAUGAAAAGUUUUUAUUAAACAAAGGCAGUUUAUGACACAAAGUGGGUCAGGAAACGAGUUCUUCAGGUAGAAUUUAACUUACUUUAUAAGAUGUCUCAGGCUUAAACACAUAAUUAUAGGUACAACUCUUCUUAAACUUCAGUUACUAAACAUUGGUUAGCACACCGGGUAGAUAAAUAUUCAGGUUUCCAGAAAAAAUGUUAAAAUGUUCAAAUCAGUGUCUAUCGCAGCUUGAUGCUUUGGUUCAUGAGUAAGGGGCAUUUUUCUUCAGUUACUCCCUCUCUUAACAAUCCCAUAACUGAGGUAUUAUAAAUGGUAUUACAGACCCAGGGGAUCCCCUCUCCCCUUGUUACUGGGUUGGGAGUCUUCAGUACCUAGAAGAAUUCUCCCUGGCUAGACUGAAACCCAGGGAGCCAGAAUUCCCUCAGGAUCUCUCUCUCCUGGUUCAGACUCAGCCCUCCCAGCACACUCCUGUCUGGAUCUCUUCCCCAGACUCUCAGCCUGGUCUCCCUAUCCCAGCUGUGAGGCUCUGUCCUCUUCCUAUGGAUAGUCUCCUGAGUGUGUAUCUCCUUUCCCUCUCAGAACCCCUUCACCCACUCUCCCAACCAGAAACUUGUCUUAACCUCUCCAAACCAAUCAUAUCCCUUCCCUGGAACUCUGGCCAAUCAGACCCUAUUGCCAGUCAAUCAUUUGCUGGCAGGAAAAAAACCACUUGGUGACCCAAACUGCCCAGCAAACAAACUUUUCCGUCACAGGCCUUGGGUGUCAAGGACCUUUGUGGGCUCGAUAGAGGAGUCUAGCUUUUCAAGGAUAACAUGAAAGACAGCCGAGGACAGAGGAGAACAGAGGAGAACAGUCAACCUGUGGACAUCAGGAGGACUGCUCCAACCCCAAACAGUUGGCACAGGGUUGGAUCGCAACAGGAAUUGGCAAUUCCAUGUCAAAUACCCAUGCAAGCUUUCCUUCCACCCAAAAUCAUAUCCCUAGACCUUCUGCCCACCUCACAACUGGAUAUCUCAUGCAGCUUCUCAAUCUCCACAAUUAAGUAUGGCAGCCAUACUUGUUGAAUAUUUUAAGGAUCUUCAUGCCUCUACAGUCUCUAAAGUGGAAUAUUGGCAUGCCAAAUAGUUAAACAAAGCUCAUGCUUACGUUCAGGAUUGGGAAUCUUCAUUGCAUAGACUAGCUGCAAAGGGAUGCUGCUGGUCAGCUGAUUUCUGUGUCUCAUGUUUUCAGUGGCAGUGUAACAUCUCGGCUUCUGUGGGAGGAAGCAGCAUAUCAGAAUCACGGGGCUGGUCUGGACCAAGGAGGCAGAGCACAGCUUGUGGCAAACCCCCUCAGUGAAGAUGUGUCAUAGAGCUCUGUUGUCCUUAUUUAUGCCAAAGGCACAAGGCCGCCUGUGAGAUCAUCGUGGGCUCUCUGAAAUGUGCCCUCUUUCCAUGAUGUUCAGAGAGAACCAAGGAGCGGAAUUUAAAAGUUAAUUCUCCUUGGACAUCAGGACACAACAGGCUUAAUUUUUUUUUUUAUUGAAUGUUACAAAAAAAAAUGAAUAGAAAAAAAGAAAUAGAAACAAUACAUAACCAUACAUAAAAACAUUUUAUCUACACAAUUUUCCAGAAUGC